rnacentral:lncRNA from 13 species
UUUCUCCUUUGGACUGGAAGUAUACAAGAAGACGGAAAGGAAGAAAAUGGAUCACAUAUGGGAAAUAAAUCUCUACGAAGUUAGAAAGUCCUGAGGUGUGUUUACUGCAUUAAGGUAAAUAUGUUUACCCCAAACUACUAUUCAGUUAGGCUAUAAACAUAGGUAUU